rnacentral:misc_RNA from 1 species
GAUGAAGAACGUAGCGAAAUGCGAUAAGUAAUGUGAAUUGCAGAAUUCAGUGAAUCAUCGAAUCUUUGAACGCACAUUGCGCCCGCUGGUAUUCCGGCGGGCAUGCCUGUUCGAGCGUCAUUUCAACCCUCAAGCUCUCCGGAGUUUGGUGUUGGGGCGCCUGGGGCUUUUCGACCUCAGGGCCCUCAAGUCCAUCGGCGGGACCGCCAGGGCACUGAGCGCAGUAGUAUUAUUUCGCUCGGUAGGAUCUUCCACGGCGGGUCGAUCUGGCCGCUAAACCCCCCAAUUCUCACCAAAGGUUGACCUCGGAUCAGGUAGGAAUACCCGCUGAACUUAAGCAUAUCAAUAAGCGGAGGA